rnacentral:misc_RNA from 1 species
GAAAUGCGAUAAGUAAUGUGAAUUGCAGAAUUCAGUGAAUCAUCGAAUCUUUGAACGCACCUUGCGCUCCUUGGUAUUCCUUGGAGCAUGCCUGUUUGAGUAUCAUGAAAUCUUCAAAGUAAAUCUUUUGUUAACUCAAUUGGUUUCUACUUUGGUAUUGGAGGUCUUUGCAGCUUCACACCUGCUCCUCUUUGUUCAUUAGCUGGAUCUCAGUGUUAUGCUUGGUUCCACUCGGCGUGAUAAGUUAUCUAUCGCUGAGGACACUGUAAAAGGUGGCCAAGGUAAAUGCAGAUGAACCGCUUCUAAUAGUCCAUUGACUUGGACAAUACUUUUAUGAUCUGAUCUCACAUCAGGUAGAACUACCCGCUGAACUUAAGC